rnacentral:lncRNA from 1 species
AUUUUUAUGGGACGGCAAAUCACAUUUUCACCCUAAUGUAACAUGCAUAACAAUUUUCUUUCAAUAUCAAGCUUUUGAGACCAUUGAAUUCACCUUGCACUCCAUCAUAUCCAUGUCCACUUAUCCUUGACAAGCACUCAAAAGUCUGAUAAAAAACAAGUAUUAGAAACAUGAACACGACCAAGAAAGCAUACUCUAUAUAACCCUCUCUUUCUUAUUCAGAUAACGUAAAGCUACACCCAUUUGCUCCUUAAUUGAGAUAGUUCGAGAUUCAUCAAUCAAAACGACAAAUAAGUUAUCUCCUAAAUCAUCAAGUAUAACUUGAGUGGUUUCACUAGCAGAAACUCUAACAACAUCUCUAUGUACUGUCGGAGAUGUUAACUUCAUAUUUCCACGAGCAUUAUUCAAUACUUUGUGAAUAGAUUCAUUACAAGAUAAUCCAUAAGUGCAAGGAAGUUCCCCUUUUAUUUUAUGACACUGACUCAUCGUUACCCCAAAAAGCCAACCCUUAGGACAAAAAAUGAACAGAAUCAACUACUGCAGUUAAAUGAAUUUGAUAUUCCUCUUUAACUUGAUGAGGCUAUUUGCACAUGACACCUUCAAUAUGUGGCUUUUGUUUCAUUAGAUUUUGACAAUUUCUUCGUGCAAAAUUAUGAGAACUAUUUGGCUUCCAAUAUGAACAUGAAACAUGUCUGUUUUUUCCAAUUUGUAAAAAGUUUUGUUAUAAAUACAUCACCCCUACCUUUAUGUUUUACAAAAUGUGAUCUCAUAAGGUAACAACACAAGCAAUAUGAUUCAUCCUCCUUUAGACUAUAUUCUAACCAGCUUGCAUAUUUUAAAUACACAUCUGAAUUAGAUCUACUAAAGGUAUCUCCAAGCUAUCUUUGUAGAAAACUAAUCUCUUUUGAUUUACAAUGACCCUUUUGCAGAUAAUAUCUCCUAACAUCAUCUCCACCACUUAGAUGAUAAUCUGAUUUUUUUUGCCUUCAAAUUUAAACUAGGACCAUUUGGAAGCUUUUCCAAAGAUGGACGCAAUGUUAUACUUCCACAUUAAUUAAGUACUUUAUCUUUUGAAAAACAUUUCCAUUGUUUAUUCUAGAAAUAGAAUCAAUAUGACUAUAUAACCGCAAAUAAAUAAUUCACAAAACAACCAAUAGUAAAUUACAUUAUAUUAAUAUAUUAUUAUAUAAAUAUGACUAUAUUAAUAUAAUUAUUUUAGUAUGGGUGUCUCUAUUAAAUAUUAAUAAUUAAUUUGUAUAUGGAGUAUGCGUAAUAAUAUGAGAACCAUUGAAUCAGACUAUCAGAGAAUAUAUAUAGUAAUAUUAUUAUACAUAUUAGGAGAAAUGAGACAAGGAGUAAGAGUGUAUGCUGACCACACAGAAUUACAAGGACUUCAUUUGGCUGUUCGUUUAUGCACUGCUGCUGCUGUUGUUGGGGUCGUCUGUCUGCAGAUUGGAGUUAUGUACUGCUAAUGCUGGGCAGUCUGUCUGCAAUUUUGCAUUUUUGGGGCAAUAUUUUUGUAUUUCUGCACUGCUGCAACUCUGCAGCCUACGUAACACGGAGGAUGGCAAUUAGGCGCGGGGAAUUGGGGAGUAAGAGGGAAGUGCAAUGUGUUAAGGGGGAGGCACCACAAGAC